AAUUGCUCCUCUUGGAGUCUUCUCAGCAAGCCCAGGAUAAGGGCUAGUGUAUAGCAGCCCUCUCAUUUCUGUACCAGAAACCUAUGAGGUGAAUGACAAGUUUGUUCCAUAGUUCUAAGAAGCCAAGGCUUGUUGCAAAGAGACCUAUUUUGAAUGAAACCUCUAUCGGGACAGCAGCCUGACACGUGGCCAGGCUGCAAAGAACUACAGUUCGAGUACGCAGUCUUGCUCCCGUAUCUCCAGGUGGCAGAUAAGGGAGAUGAGACUGAGGCACCGUUUUUGGGUCUGAUGGAUCACAGAAUCACAGGAAAACCCGAGUUGGAGAAGACCCCAACGAUCGAGUCCAGCUUCUGGCUCCACACAGAACGCCCAAAAUUCAAACCCUAUGUCUGAGAGUACCGCCCAAACACUCUUUGAACUCCAGCAAUCCUCUCACGC